AGCGAACGCUGGCGGCAGGCCUAACACAUGCAAGUCGAACGGAUCCUUCGGGAUUAGUGGCGGACGGGUGAGUAACACGUGGGAACGUGCCCGUUGGUUCGGAACAACUCAGGGAAACUUGAGCUAAUACCGGAUGUGCCCUUCGGGGGAAAGAUUUAUCGCCAUUGGAGCGGCCCGCGUCUGAUUAGCUAGUUGGUGAGGUAACGGCCCACCAAGGCGACGAUCAGUAGCUGGUCUGAGAGGAUGAUCAGCCACACUGGGACUGAGACACGGCCCAGACUCCUACGGGAGGCAGCAGUGGGGAAUCUUGCGCAAUGGGCGAAAGCCUGACGCAGCCAUGCCGCGUGAAUGAUGAAGGUCUUAGGAUUGUAAAAUUCUUUCAGCGGGGACGAUAAUGACGGUACCCGCAGAAGAAGCUCCGGCUAACUUCGUG
rnacentral:rRNA from 1 species